rnacentral:misc_RNA from 1 species
GAUGAAGAACGUAGCGAAAUGCGAUAAGUAAUGUGAAUUGCAGAAUUCCGUGAAUCAUCGAAUUUUUGAACGCAUAUUGCGCCCUCUGGUAUUCCGGAGGGCAUGCCUGUCCGAGCGUCAUUGCUGCCCUCAAGCACGGCUUGUGUGUUGGGCCUCCGUCCUCCUCCCGGGGGACGGGCCCGAAAGGCAGCGGCGGCACCGCGUCCGGUCCUCGAGCGUAUGGGGCUUCGUCACCCGCUCUUGUAGGCCCGGCCGGCGCUUGCCGACACAUCAAUCUUUUUUCCAGGUUGACCUCGGAUCAGGUAGGGAUACCCGCUGAACUUAAGCAUAUCAAUAAGCGGAGGA